GGGAUAGCCUUUCGAAAGAAAGAUUAAUACCCGAUGGCAUAGUUCUUCCGCAUGGUGGAACUAUUAAAGAAUUUCGGUCAUCGAUGGGGAUGCGUUCCAUUAGGUUGUUGGCGGGGUAACGGCCCACCAAGCCUUCGAUGGAUAGGGGUUCUGAGAGGAAGGUCCCCCACAUUGGAACUGAGACACGGUCCAAACUCCUACGGGAGGCAGCAGUGAGGAAUAUUGGUCAAUGGACGAGAGUCUGAACCAGCCAAGUAGCGUGAAGGAUGACUGCCCUAUGGGUUGUAAACUUCUUUUAUACGGGAAUAAAGUGAGGCACGCGUGCCUUUUUGUAUGUACCGUAUGAAUAAGGAUCGGCUAACUCCGUGCCAGCAGCCGCGGUAAUACGGAGGAUCCGAGCGUUAUCCGGAUUUAUUGGGUUUAAAGGGAGCGUAGGCGGACGCUUAAGUCAGUUGUGAAAGUUUGCGGCUCAACCGUAAAAUUGCAGUUGAUACUGGGUGUCUUGAGUACAGUAGAGGCAGGCGGAAUUCGUGGUGUAG
rnacentral:rRNA from 1 species